rnacentral:pre_miRNA from 1 species
AUAAUCAAAACUUGAUCCAAUGCCCACUGAAAUCAGUGGGAGUUUUCCUAUUGAUUUCAAUGAGCAUUGGGUCAGGCCCUUAU